rnacentral:tRNA from 1 species
GAGCGAGUGGCCGAGCCCCGGCCUCGUCAGUGAACGCGUCAGAUCAGGCGUCAGCCUGCGGCGCGGAGGAGCGGUGGCGCUUCGAGUACGCCUCGCCCUCCA